rnacentral:rRNA from 1 species
GCAUCGAUGAAGAACGCAGCGAAAUGCGAUAAGUAAUGUGAAUUGCAGAAUUCAGUGAAUCAUCGAAUCUUUGAACGCACAUUGCGCCCAUUAGUAUUCUAGUGGGCAUGCCUGUUCGGGCGUCAUUUCAACCCCUAAGCACAGCUUAUUGUUGGGCGUCUACGUCUGUAGUGCCUCAAAGACAUUGGCGGAGCGGCAGCAGUCCUCUGAGCGUAGUAAUUCUUUAUCUCGCUUCUGUUAGGCGCUGCCCCCCCGGCCGUAAAACCCCCAAUUUUUUCUGGUUGACCUCGGAUCAGGUAGGAAUACCCGCUGAACUUAAGCAUAUCAAUAAGCGGAGGAA